AGUGACAUGAGAGUUGCUCUGGUAGCAGUGGAAAUGCUACUUGUAAAACCAUCCUUAGCUCCAGGAUCGUAGAGCUAUCACUGAGACAAUUGCGCAGUGAGUGACAAGAGAGAUAAGCGGAGAAUGUGAGCCAUCUAUGAGACAGGUAUCUUUUCAGAAACAUAAUUUUACAACAGCCAUUAAAGAGAGUAGCAAAAGAAUCAACAAGCAUGCAAGGGUGAAAAUUAAGAAACAUAAAGCCAAAAAACAAACUGAGAAGCUACAGCUUUCGUCUAGUCUCAGUCACACAUCCUGCCUCUUCCUACCUGAUCUGCCAUCUCGCUGAAUGUCCACAUGGUACCAUUCCCCAUCAUUGGCUUUCUUCUGAGUGGCUUUCACUUUGAUGGUGCCAGAGCCCAUGUCAAGCAGCAAGUACAGGUUGCCAUCGAGGAGUUCCACGGCAAAGAAGUCUACUUUUGUAUUCUUCUGGCUCCGAGCAUCCUUCCUCUCUUGGGGCUUUCCAUGAGUGAAGAGGAUCAGGCCAUUGGGCUCUGUGGUGCGGAAGUCAAAGGAGAUGGAGCCCAUACGUUUAGUGUUCCACUUGGGCAAGCUGAUGUAAGCCUCUGGGGUCUCAAAGUUGAUGGGGUCCAGUGUGGCCACAUUCUCACACUUAAACACAACUUCGCCAUAGAUUUUCAUCUUGGUGUCCGCAAUCCGGGCCAGGCGAGACAGCUCCAGACGGAUGUCAUUAUUCUUAUAAACAACCUGUCAAAAGCCAAACAAAAGUGCCAUGUGAAUCAAUCUUGCAAACAGUAUCCAUCCAUCACUCACUGGGCACCUGGAAAAAUGACCCAAAAAGAGGCUUCAGGACAUAGCCCAAAACAACAUGAGAAACAAUGAGACACAGGAACCAAAAAGGUAUCUGAAGAAACAUCUGAUGUGCACACAAGCUCCAAAAAAGCCUCUAUAUUUCUACAGAAUUUCUUUUGUCUCCUGGCCAAUUUCUUGUGUUGUCAGAAAGUUAUACAACAUAAGCUUGCAAAUAAAAAUCAAGAGAGAUCGAGUUGCAUGGAUUCACAUACUUCAUACAAAGUGAUUUACUGAAGCACCCUUAGUAAAAUACCAGAAACAACCUAAAUGACCAUCAAUAGCAGAUGGCACAGCGUUAUAAUGGAAUAUUAGGCAGGCCUUGCAAACAAGAGACACACAGGAGCAAUACCAGGAGUAAAGCAAGCUGAGAGCCGGAACAAUAUAAGAAAAGAGCCUACCAUGUGCCAGAGGACAACUUCAAUAAAAAACACCAGGUCAGCGGAUAAGACCAUGUCACUCACAGGUUUGUGACUUGAGGCCUGAGCACCAAUGAUCCACUCCACAUCAGUGGAGAAUGUUGGAAAGUAAGGACGCUGUGGACAUUUUCUGAAGUUGGAGAAAUGGAAUGGUGGAGAAGCCAGUAUUGGGGUACCAUGAGUGGAGCAGAGUUGACUACAAAUCUCAAUAAAGCUUUUCAACUGUA